UACAGAGGGGGCAAGCGUUGUUCGGAAUUACUGGGCGUAAAGGGCGCGUAGGCGGCCUUCUAAGUCGAACGUGAAAUCCCCGGGCUCAACCCGGGAACUGCGUCCGAUACUGGCAGGCUUGAAUCCGGGAGAGGGAUGCGGAAUUCCUGGUGUAGCGGUGAAAUGCGCAGAUAUCAGGAGGAACACCGAUGGCGAAGGCAGGUCUCUGGGCCACUACUGACGCUGAGAAGCGAAAGCAUGGGGAGCGAACAGG
rnacentral:rRNA from 1 species